GACUCGGUAGCUCAGCUGGUAGAGCACAUCACUUUUAAUGAUGGGGUCCUGGG
rnacentral:tRNA from 1 species